rnacentral:misc_RNA from 1 species
AUAACCUGUAUGAUUUCACUUACGUGGAGAAUGUGGCACAUGCACAUGUGUGUGCGGAACGAGCUCUAGCAUCAGGAGGAACAGCAGCAGAAAAAGCUGCUGGGAACGCUUAUUUCAUCACAAACACGGAGUCCAUUAAGUUUUGGGAGUUCGUAUCACUUAUUCUUGAAGGUCUUGGCUAUGACAGGCCAAGUAUUAAGAUUCCUGCACCUGUUAUGAUGCCAAUUGCACAUUUGGUGGAACUGACUUAUAAGCUGUUAGCACCUUAUGGAAUGAAGGUCCCACAGUUG